rnacentral:rRNA from 1 species
CCUACGGGCGGCAGCAGUGGGGAAUAUUGGACAAUGGGCGAAAGCCUGAUCCAGCCAUGCCGCGUGUGUGAAGAAGGCCUUCGGGUUGUAAAGCACUUUCAGUGGGGAAGAAAGCCUUGGGGCUAAUACCCUCGAGGAAGGACAUCACCCACAGAAGAAGCACCGGCUAACUCCGUGCCAGCAGCCGCGGUAAUACGGAGGGUGCGAGCGUUAAUCGGAAUUACUGGGCGUAAAGCGCGCGUAGGCGGUCUGAUAAGCCGGUUGUGAAAGCCCCGGGCUCAACCUGGGAACGGCAUCCGGAACUGUCAGGCUAGAGUGCAGGAGAGGAAGGUAGAAUUCCCGGUGUAGCGGUGAAAUGCGUAGAGAUCGGGAGGAAUACCAAUGGCGAAGGCGGCCUUCUGGACUGACACUGACGCUGAGGUGCGAAAGCGUGGGUAGCAAACAGGAUUAGAUACCCUAGUAGUC